GCUUGAGUGGUGUAGUGGUAACAUGGAGUCUUCCCAUGGCUCCGCCUCGGGUUCGAUUCCCGGCUCAAGCA